ACAGGCAGACUCAACAGGAUAUUGUGGGUUAGCCCAACAUCCUGUGCUCAAGUGACUGAAAAAACAUACAGAUAUGCUUAAAAAAAUGCUUUGCAGAUGUAUUCUUUUAUUUAUUUAUUUAUUUAUUUUUGACAGCUUAUAACCUGUCAAUGUUUAACCUGUUACCAAGGAUACCAAUGAUUAUGACGUAAAGGAUCUGAUGUGUCUGGGUGAUACUAUAUAUAUUGCAUGUGAAACUGUUUGUUCUUUAUCAAGACUUUUGUGGUGAAGAUUUACAACAUAGUUAUUGUUAAUUACUGUAUUGACAAUUGUUAUCCUGCUUGAAACCAAAUCCACUUAGGUGAAGAUUUGUAAACUUUAUAAGUCACUGGUGAGUCCUCUUUUUCUAUGAUAGACUGACUAGAGUUUAUUAUUUUCUUCAUCAAUUUGGACCGAAGAGUAAGCCUGAGGCGUAAGGCCGCUCCUGCCCCGGAGGCUCAGACCUUGCCUGAGGUCACGGGGGAACCUGGAGCCUAUCCCAGGUGCACAAGGCAUGGUACACCCUGGACAGGGUGCCAAUCCAUCGCAGGGCACACCCAUUUAUACACUACGGACACUUUACGCCAAUACCAUGCAUGUCUUUGGACUGGGGGAGGAAACUGGAGUACCCGGAGAAAACCUACGCAGCACGGGGAGAACAUGCAAACUCCGCACACACAUGACCCUGGCGGAACUCGAACCCUGGACGCUGGAGUUGAUUGGGGAGCUACCUGCUGGAAUUCCUCUGCAGCUACUAAGUUUAUUUCUGCAGCCUGGCAUAUCCCAAGCCUACUAAGAGCCACUGGAUCAGGUUCUUGGUGUCCUGGUUUUGCGGCCCGGCCAGGGACUGGGUGGAGCAACUGGUCAGUACUGGGUCCCCCACUCUCCACGACGUCACCCAGUUCGUGGAACUUUUUGUCAAUUUGAUACUGGUGUAGGUUUGUGUUGUGUAAUGUCUCAAGCCAUGUAUUUCAUGUUAUGAGAUUUUACUCUGUGUGAAACUUCUGAAUAAAAGCAGUUCUUUUCUGCUGUGAAACAGAGGUGUACAUUACACUUUUUGCAUAUCACUUUAAGUGUUCCUGUGUACCAAGGAAACCCGCAUCUUCCCUUCUUGUCACACAUUGUAACAUAUUGUCCAAGUGGACAUUCUGGUUAGAGAUGGGAGCCAUUGGGCCCUGCUUCCUUCUCUUCUCCUUCUAUUCUCCUCUCUUCAUACUGUUGGGAAAUCCCACCACUGGUUCGACCUUGUGGAACUUCAAGGCAUAAUGGAACUUUUUUUUUGUCAUUCCAUUGUCAGCACAAUCUCGUCAGUACAUAAGCCAACAUGUCACCACCGCCAUAUAUAUGAAAUGAAAACAAUGGCUGAUCGACUUUGGGAGUGCUAUGGAGAUGUUCAGAAACAGAUAUGAAAAGUCUUUAAGACUUUAAGAACUAAAAUGUAUGUAGAAGAUAUUGCUGUUAAACCAAUUCUUGAAAAAAAAAAAAAACUUCCUGACCCACAUUAACAUGACCUAAACCAAGCUCUAGCAUACACCUCAACUGAAUAAAUAUAAAGUGUUAAAAUAGCAAAGAUGCUGUAUUGCUUUGCUUACAUGUGUGAUUUGAAAGGUGUAAAAUGCUGAAAAGCCUUGUUUUUAUAUGCUAUAACUGACAUACGACUGAUUAUUAUGAAAUCACAGGCAGACUCAACAGGAUAUUGUGGGUUAGCCCAACAUCCUGUGCUCAAGUGACUGAAAAAACAUACAGAUAUGCUUAAAAAAAUGCUUUGCAGAUGUAUUCUUUUUCUCUUUUUUUUGACAGCUUAUAACCUGUCAAUGUUUAACCUGUUACCAAGGAUACCAAUGAUUAUGACGUUAAGGAUCUGAUGUGUCUGCGUGAUACUAUAUAUAUUGCACGUGAAACUGUUUGUUCUUUAUCAAGACUUUUGUGGUGAAGAUUUACAACAUAGUUAUUGUUAAUUACUGUAUUGACAAUUGCUAUCCUGCUUGAAACGAUUCUGCAAUAAACCAAAUCCACUUAGGUGGAGAUUUGUAAACUUUAGAAGUGACUGGCGAGUCCUCUUUUUCUAUGAUAGACUAAGACUAGAGUUUAUUAUUUUCUUCAUCAAUUUGGACUGAAGAGUAAGCCUGAGGCGUAAGGCCGCUCCUGCCCCGGAGGCUCAGACCUUGACCUGAGUAAGUAACAAAGCUUCUCAUUAUGAUGUACACUUGAACAAGGUUUAUAUUGUAUAGCAGGGAGCUAGUAUGUUCUUUUCCAGAUAGAAAGCUCACCUUGAGUAAGUAUUUUUGGGGAAUUUGUUGCAUAUUAG